AUGAUGGACUAUAGGACAGGACUGCUGCUUUUUACUGUCUGCUGGGCAGGUGUUGAUGGUCAGACUCUGACAGAAUCUGAAGCAGUGGUUAAAAGUCCUGGAGAAUCCCACAGACUGACCUGUUCAGCCUCUGGAUUCACAUUCAGCAGCUACGCUAUGAACUGGGUCAGACAGGCUCCUGGAAAAGGACUGGAGUGGAUCGCUACUAUUAGUAGUGGUAGUGGUAGCAGCCAAUACUACUCUAAUUCAGUCAAAAGCCGGUUCACCAUCUCCAGAGACAACAGCAGACAGCAGCUGUAUCUGCAGAUGAACAGUCUGCAAGCUGAAGAUUCUGCUGUUUAUUACUGUGCUCGAGAGCCACAGUGACUGCAGUUGGUUGAGCAGAUGUACAAAAUCCUACAGGACUUGUUUUGACUUGACCGAGAGAUCCUACAAUACAAUUAUAUUCUCAGUUAAUGCAUAAUAAAUUGGCCCUGAAAAACAAUUUCAAUGAACAACAAUAUUCUUUAAUCAUUUGACAAAAA